rnacentral:rRNA from 1 species
UACGGAGGGUGCAAGCGUUAAUCGGAAUUACUGGGCGUAAAGCGCGCGUAGGCGGCUGGAUAAGUCGAUUGUGAAAGCCCCGGGCUCAACCUGGGAAUUGCAGUCGAGACUGUUCGGCUAGAGUGUGGGAGAGGGUGGUGGAAUUCCCGGUGUAGCGGUGAAAUGCGUAGAGAUCGGAAAGAACACCAACGGCGAAAGCACUCUGCUGGGCCGACACUGACACUGAGAGACGAAAGCUAGGGGAGCGAACAGG